AGAGAGAGGGAGACACCGGCAGACGACGUCAAAAGCUACGGUAGCCUAUACACUGAGGGAAAAGAGGGGUAGCGCGGGAGGGAAACGUUAGAUAUUAAUAAGUAUAUUUUAAUAUAUGUGUUAAACCUUAAAUGUCUAUAUAAAUGAACUGAUGGAUUUAUCAAAAGCUGUCUGCUGCAGAAAUAGUUUUUAAGAAUAUAGCCUUGUAGCCUAAUUAUUGCAGACAUUUGACUAUUCUAACAGACAGGGCAGUACUCAGAGAGUGACUGACUGGCUUUACCGGAUUUACCAAGAGUCGUGACGAGAGGAUAUAGCAAAUAACGGAUCACCAAGGCACCGGGUUGGGGAUAUGUGAUCUGAUGAUCGCUUGCAAAGACGUGAGACCUUAACGGGAGCAGCAACUCCACUGAUCUGUUACGGAUUCGAAACCGGGAGAGGGAGCGAUUGGCACAAAGAGCGGAGAACGAAUCGCAUUGAGCCUACUAUUCCCGGAGGGAGGGUAACAGGAGACGCGCACUGAAGACAACAACGCCACGGCAAAACGUGGAAAAAUAAACAAAAUCAUCUCAUAUUACUCUGGGAAUUAUUUUACAACGUGGAGUGAAGGAUCUCUUGAAAUCGGGGCUCCGAACACUCUCACGUCCUAAAGCUCUGGUCGCUCCUCUCCAGAGGACCACGACUCUGCUCGCACUCACCCCGCUCUUCUCACCUCGAACCCCGCAGAGAGCCUGUCGUUCUCCCCGCUGUGUUCCGAUGAAGGAAGCCGAUGCGAUCAAGCUGUUCGUGGGGCAGAUUCCUCGGAAUCUAGAGGAGAAGGACCUCAAACCGAUCUUUGAACAGUUCGGGAAGAUCUACGAGCUGACGGUGAUAAAGGACAAAUACACCGGCAUGCACAAAGGAUGUGCAUUCCUGACAUACUGUGCGAGGGAGUCAGCGCUGAAGGCCCAGAGUGCUUUGCAUGAGCAGAAGACGCUACCGGGGAUGAACCGACCCAUCCAGGUAAAACCAGCCGACAGCGAGGGGAGAGGAGAAGACAGGAAGUUGUUUGUGGGCAUGCUGGGUAAACAGCAGAGUGAUGAAGACGUCAAGAGGCUGUUUGAGCCCUUUGGCACUAUAGACGAGUGUACUGUACUACGGGGGCCAGACGGCACCAGUAAAGGUUGUGCGUUUGUGAAGUACCAGGGACAUGCUGAAGCUCAGGCUGCCAUUAGCACCCUGCAUGGGAGCCGCACACUGCCUGGUGCGUCGUCCAGUCUGGUGGUCAAGUUUGCCGACACAGAGAAGGAGAGAGGGCUGAGACGGAUGCAGCAGGUGGCAUCACAGCUGGGCAUCUUCAGCCCCACCAUGACACUUAACUUCCCUGCUUACAACGCUUACACACAGGCCGUCAGCGCACAGGCGAUUGUCCAGCAGCAAGCUCUGGUUGCUCAGUCAGCGUACCUGUCUCCUGUAGCAACUGUUGCCAGUUUACAGAUGCAGCAGAUGGCAGCGCUCAACGCAAACGGAAUCAUCGCCACGCCCAUCACAUCUUCCUCUGAGUCUAGUAGCUGUCAAUCACAAUAUCUCCUCCACUGUGAUUGGUCCUCCCGGUUUGCAGGUACGAAUACCCCUCCAACCAUCUCAGCCACGCCCGUGCCAUCACUACCUCCACCUCUAGGAGUCAAUGGUUACAGUCCACCAACCAAUGGACAGCAAGCAUCAGAAGCACUAUACACCAAUGGCAUUCAUGCGUACCAAGCCCAGAGUCCAGCAUUAUCUCUAGAUCCUCUCCAGCAGGCGUAUGCAGGCAUGCAGCACUACACAGCGGCGUACCCUGCUGCCUAUGGAUUGGUCGGCCAGCAUUUUCCACAGCAACCUACCCUGGUUGCCCAGCAACACCAGCAGCCCCAGCAACAGCAGCAGCGAGAAGGGCCGGAGGGUUGUAAUAUCUUUAUCUACCACCUGCCUCAGGAGUUCAGUGACAGUGAGAUGCUCCAGAUGUUUCUGCCCUUUGGAAACGUCAUCUCAGCUAAAGUCUUUGUAGACCGCGCCACCAACCAGAGCAAGUGCUUCGGUUUUGUGAGUUUUGACAACCCAUCCAGUGCCCAGACUGCCAUCCAGGCUAUGAAUGGGUUCCAGAUCGGCAUGAAGAGACUCAAGGUGCAGCUGAAACGACCUAAAGACGCCAACCGCCCCUACUGAAGGAGAGAGAUCCUCCCGUCCAAUCAUAAUUCGCGGGAUCCCAUCACUAUGGUUACCUAGCGACCGAUAAAGCCCCGACCCCCCUUCCUCUCACGUGUUACUCUGGCCAUGGUGGAAUCCCAGCGUGCAUUGCGCCCUCUGACCUACUACCUUUCUUUUGAGCGACGGGGAACAGCACACACACAAAUACCACACACACACACACACAUUGCACUCUAAAAGGACCAAGGCACAGAUAUUGACCAAUGUACAUAUUAUAGUCCUCACACACACAAACACUGACAUACUUUCAAAUACAUAUAUGUCAGUAAUCGUACCCUUUGAACUUGACUCAGUUUGAAAAUGGUUUGAGAGGAGUUUGUCUGGAGUGUGUAGGGCAGUGAAGAUCACACACAUACACGACCCAGGAAGUACUUACUAAAGUCAUUGAUGAGAUGAUGAAUAAUGGUGAUAUAUCACUUCUUUGGACCAUAACAUGUCAUAUUACAUGGCUAUUACAUGUGUAUAACAUGAUACAAAUAGGAAGGCCUCCAUUUCGUAAUAAAAAAAGGAAAACAGGAAAAAAUAUUGAGACAAAAAUGAGUAAUUUAGAGAAACUUUGGAGAGAGAUCCUUAUGGCCUGUAAAUAAUUUAGUUUAAGAAGAGUAACAUUUAGAAAAUUACAAAAAAACGCAAAAAGAAGAGUACUUUAGAUAAAUCACUGAAGAAUGACACAAUAUUAUUAUUAUUAUUGUUAUUAUUAUUAUUAUCUUCGUUAGGGGAUAUUGUAUUAGAAAUAAAGAAAAGGGAGAAUCACAAACAUAUUUUCAAUUUCUACUUAGAUUUUAGGAUAAAUGUGGGUGGGAGGGACUGCACCUUUUCUGAGAGGUUUUAAUAUUUGAACAAGUUUUUAUUUAUUGACUAAUUUAUCAAUUAUUUUUGUUAAUAGGGAGAAAUGAUGAAGGGUUUAAAGGGGUUACUGAUUUUAGAAUUUUUUUAGAGCAAAAAAGGGUCUGUUUCUGUCAGACUCUGUCAGAGUAAUUAUAAUUAUGAAUGAAUUAUUACAACAAUGAUAUUUAUUUCUUAUUUAUUGAGUCUGUUUUUGAUCCAAUCUCUUUUUAAGUUAAAAUAAAAAGUAUUAUACAUCAAA